UUGAAAGUGUCUCUUUUUAACUAUAUAAAAAUAAAUAUCUAUAGAAAUAACUUGCAGUUGGUGUUUGGUCACAAAAUCUCAAUGUCAUUAUCUGAGGCUCUUGGAGUUUCAUAUGGUCUUUAGAAAUAUAAUCUGCAAGUGCUUUAAUCUGUCUGCAUUAGAGGAUCCAAUAUCUGCAGUGCACAUUGCACCUAUAACUAUAAACCAGUUAACUUCCAACACCACACAAAUGAAAUAUCCGCCUCUGCUCAGUCUGCAAGCCAAUGAGCCAUUCCUAAUGCACACCCACAGAAGAGAAGCGGAGUUUAGAGCUACUCGCCGAGGUCUGCGCAAGUUCAUUAGCUGUUUAGCUAUUGAAGAGAUUUCAAAGCAACUCUGCUGCACUCCGUCAAAUGGACCCAGACGCAGAGGGCGAAUGGAGAGAAUGCCAAUUCCUUAAAACUACAUCCAACUUCUUUCAUUUUCCUCUCAGAACUUUCAAUUUACUGCUCAUCUGGGAUCGUCUUUCCGUAGCCUGGAGAAAAAUACUUUGCUGGAGCCCGUACUGACAGGAACUGGACGAGCGGUGCAGCAUUGAGGAUGAACUCCUGAUGGCAAGUUCAGCUCUGCUUGAUUGUGAUGAAGAAAUCGAUAAAGAUGGGAAUGCAGGCUCGUUAGAGAAUGCUGCUAAAUUACAGAGCAUACAGACAAAGCCCGCUGUUGACAUCGGAAUAAUGUUCAGUUUGAGUCUCUCACACAUUCGGAUGCACGGACAUACGCUAACACAAAGGAAAACCAGGCUGUGCUACAAUAGACGACAACGAAAGGAUAGAUAACAUUGGUGCUGUGAGGAAAAAAGGAAAGGGUAAAAAAA